rnacentral:rRNA from 1 species
AUUGAACGCUGGCGGCAUGCCUUACACAUGCAAGUCGAACGGUAACAGGUUAAGCUGACGAGUGGCGAACGGGUGAGUAAUGUAUCGGAACGUGCCCAGUCGUGGGGGAUAACGUAGCGAAAGCUACGCUAAUACCACAUACGAUCUACGGAUGAAAGCGGGGGAUCGCAAGACCUCGCGCGAUUGGAGCGGCCGAUAUCAGAUUAGGUUGUUGGUGAGGUAAAAGCUCACCAAGCCUGCGAUCUGUAGCUGGUCUGAGAGGACGACCAGCCACACUGGAACUGAGACACGGUCCAGACUCCUACGGGAGGCAGUAGUGGGGAAUUUUGGACAAUGGACGCAAGUCUGAUCCAGCAAUGCCGCGUGCAGGACGAAGGCCUUCGGGUUGUAAACUGCUUUUGUACGGAACGAAACGGUGAGCUCUAAUACAGUUUGCUAAUGAUGGUACCGUAAGAAUAAGCACCGGCUAACUACGUGCCAGCCGCCGCUGUAA